AGGACGAACGCUGGCGGCGUGCUUAACACAUGCAAGUCGAGCGGAAAGGCCCUUCGGGGUACUCGAGCGGCGAACGGGUGAGUAACACGUGAGCAACCUGCCCUCAGCUCUGGGAUAGCUCCCGGAAACGGGAUUAAUACCGGAUAUGACCCUGACCGACAUCUGUCAGGGUGGAAAGGUUUACCGGCUGAGGAUGGACUCGCGGCCUAUCAGCUAGUUGGUGGGGUAACGGCCUACCAAGGCGACGACGGGUA
rnacentral:rRNA from 1 species